UCCUUAUAACUAGAACCGAUUCUGUGUCUUAAAUUAAUCCGCAGUGUUUAUUUUGCUCCAGCAGUAACGCAGCCGAUGCUUUUAUUCUGAAAGGCUCAGAGCAGGAAAGUGACGUGAAUGGAAUGUCACGGGGUGUAUAGCAGUGGCGCGAACGCUGGCAGGCAGAGAGAAGCCAUGUUUUAAAGUAAACGAGAAAAGGCGUGUUGUCACGGAAUACUCUUGAUUGGCAAAGAGUCCUUAGCACCUGGUUGAUGAGGGAACAAGCUCUUACGGUGUGUUCACAAGCAAGGCAAAUAAA